UCUUUUGGUGUAAGGUGAACCUUACACCCCCUAAGAUCGAGGAUAACUGAUCCAUGAACUUGCAUCCCUAAGAUCGAGGAUAACCGAUCUAUGAACUUGCAUGUGUAUUGGUGUGCUUAAUUUUGUAUGAACUUGCAUGCCGGUAAUUCUUGUACACUCGCUCUGUUUGCUUUGAGGUAUAAGAGAGGGACAACUACAUUUAUCACCUUAUAUUUCAUUUGUUUUGAUGUAUAAAAAAAUUUGAGCAAGUUGUAUAAUUUUUCGAGCAGCCCCUUAUUCAUUGAGAAAUGUAUAAUUUUAUAUUUAAGAGA
rnacentral:lncRNA from 1 species